rnacentral:rRNA from 1 species
UACAGAGGGGGCAAGCGUUAUUCGGAAUUAUUGGGCGUAAAGGGCGCGUAGGCGGCUUGGCAAGUGGAUGGUGAAAUCCCUCGGCUUAACCGAGGAACUGCCAUCCAGACUGCUUUGCUUGAGGCCGGGAGAGGUGAGUGGAAUUCCCAGUGUAGCGGUGAAAUGCGUAGAUAUCGGGAGGAACACCAGUGGCGAAGGCGACUUCCUGGCCUGUUCUUGACGCUGAGGCGCGAAAGCUAGGGUAGCAAACGGG